ACGCUCGACACCUACGGGAGGAGCAGUGGGGAAUAUUGCACAAUGGGGGAAACCCUGAUGCAGCGAUGCCGCGUGAAGGAAGAAGUAUCUCGGUAUGUAAACUUCUAUCAGCAGGGAAGAAAAUGACGGUACCUGACUAAGAAGCCCCGGCUAACUACGUGCCUGCAGCCGCGGUAAUCUGAGCGGGCUGGCAAGGC
rnacentral:rRNA from 1 species